UCGACUGCAGCAAGGUCAAAAGUUGGAAAGCAGGGAUAUUCGGUUUGCAGCCACAUCAGUUUCUGAUUAGACUUACAAUUUAAGUGGGGAAGUGACUUUGGAAGAGACAUGCGUGCUGUCAGCAGAUGGGAGAGAGGAUGGAGAAAGAUGGAGGGAGGCUGCUGUAACACCUGUUCUGGUUCUAAUGUCUCUCACUAUCAAGUUCUAACCUAG
rnacentral:lncRNA from 10 species